UACGGAGGGGGCUAGCGUUGUUCGGAAUUACUGGGCGUAAAGCGCGCGUAGGCGGACCUGCAAGUCGGGGGUGAAAGCCCGAGGCUCAACCUCGGAACUGCCUUCGAUACUGCGGGUCUCGAGUCCGGGAGAGGUGAGUGGAAUUCCUAGUGUAGAGGUGAAAUUCGUAGAUAUUAGGAAGAACACCAGUGGCGAAGGCGGCUCACUGGCCCGGUACUGACGCUGAGGCGACGAA
rnacentral:rRNA from 1 species